rnacentral:sRNA from 1 species
GCUGGGCACGGUGGCACAUACCUGUAAUCCCAGCAACUUGGGAGGCUGAGGCAGGAGGAUCACUAGUUCAAACCAGCCUCAGCAAAUUAUUGAAGUACAUAGCAACUCAGUGAUAUCCUGUCUCUA